GGAUUUUGGAAAUCCGUCUCUAAUCUUAGAGACGGAUUUUGGAAAUCCGUCUCUAAGUUUAGAGACGGAUUUUGAAAAUCCGUCUCUAAGUUUAGAGACGGAUUUUGAAAAUCCGUCUCUAAGUUUAGAGACGGAUUUGGAAAAUCCGUCUCUAAGUUUAGAGACGGAUUUCCAAAAUCC
rnacentral:pre_miRNA from 1 species